rnacentral:misc_RNA from 1 species
GAUGAAGAACGUAGCGAAAUGCGAUAAGUAGUGUGAAUUGCAGAAUUCAGUGAAUCAUCGAAUCUUUGAACGCACAUUGCGCCCUCUGGUAUUCCGGAGGGCAUGCCUGUUCGAGCGUCAUUAAAACUACUCAAGCUAAGGUUUUACCUUCUGCUUGUCUUGGGUUUGAGGAUUCAAAAUCCUCUCUCCGAAAUCCAGUGGCGAAUUGUUUGAGCUGUAGACGUAGUAAAUCAUUCUACCCGUUGCAAGCGAGAAUAAUAUUCAGCCAUAACCCCCAUACUUUUCUAGUUUGACCUCGGAUCAGGUAGGGAUACCCGCUGAACUUAAGCAUAUCAAUAAGCGGAGGA